rnacentral:lncRNA from 1 species
GAAGAAAAAACACCUAUUAUAUUGAUACUUCUUGAGAUCAAAUCCAAAAGAAAAUACUCUCUGAUAUUCAUCUUUUUCUUUGUGUUCUUAAGUUAUAGAGAUUCAAACACUGUUUAGUGUUUGAAUCUCUAUAAGGCUUGAUAAACAGUGUUUGAAUCUCUAUAAGGCUUGAUUAAUCCUUCAAACAUUUUGCCGGAUCACCCUUUAAACACCAAAAUAGUGGGGGCAAAAUUCGUUUGAGGACAACAAUCAAAGAUUGUGUUUGAGCCUUCAAUUUCUUCAUAUAUACUUUGCUAUUUCUUCAUCUCCUAUACUUCUUUCGAUUUUUUAUUUUGUUUGUAAUUCGUUCUCAUAAUAUCUUUGGUGGAGUAACAUUAUUUCCAACAAUCUCAAACGAAUUUUGUGUAAUGGAAAACGAAACUACAAUGGCGACCAUCAAAUUGAUGAAUCAAGAUUUGGUUCGAUUGGAUCGGUUCGAUGGCACAAAUUUCACAAGGUGGCAAGACAAACUGAAGUUUCUUCUCACCGUAUUAAAGAUCUUCUAUAUCUUAGACCCAGAAUUGACGCUAUUACCGGAACCCACCAAUGGAGAAACCGAAGCAGUUAGAGCAGAAAGGCAAAAACGACAAGAAGAUGAACUAAUAUGUCGGGGUCACAUACUCAAUGCUCUUUCAGAUCGUUUAUAUGAUUUGUACACCAACACUUCUUCGGCAAAGGAGAUAUGGAAGGCUUUAGAAAGCAAAUACAAAGCAGAGGAAGAAGGUACAAAGAAAUUUAUAAUUUCAAAAUAUUUUGAUUUUAAGUUUUUGGAAAAUAUUCCCCUACUUCCCCAAAUACAUGAGUUGCAAGUCCUUGUCAACAAAUUAAAGGCGGUAACGAUUGAAAUCUCGGAGACCUUUCAAGUGGGGGCUAUAAUAGCAAAACUCCCGGGAACUUGGAAAGGAUACCGGAAGAAAAUUAUGCAUAGUUUCGAAGAUUACUCUUUGGAACAAUUGCAAAAACACCUAAGGAUUGAAGAAGAAUCCAGGUUACGCGAUAGACGUGAAAACUCUUCGGAAGGAACUUCUAAAGCGAAUGCCAUAGAGAAAUCUGAACCACCUGAAAAAACCAACAAAAGAAAGCCUUCAAGAAACUUUAACAAGUUCAAGAAGAAGAACAAAGGAGGUUGCUUUGUGUGUGGAAAGUCUGGUCACUAUGCAAAAGACUAUAGACACCGGAAAAGAAACAACUCCGAAGGUAAAAUCAACUCCAUUCAAGAAGAAAAGAUUGUGGCCACCGUGAGCGAGAUAAAUGCAAUUAAGGGAAAGGUUCUCGGGUGGUGGUAUGAUACUUGUGCUACGGUACAUGUAUCAUAUGAUAAAUCUUUAUUCAAGACCUAUCAUGAAAUGAAUGGAGGCCAAGAGAUUCAAAUGGGCAACGAAGUUCGAUCCAAAGUCAUUGGUAAAGGAAAUGUAAAUUUAAUCUUCACUUCCGGAAAAAACGUUACCCUCACUAAUGUAUUACAUGUUCCGGAUAUGAAUCGGAACUUAAUUAGUGGAAAUCUCUUAGGAAAAUCGGGUAUCAAAAGUGUGUAUGAAUCCGGUAAACUUGUAUUAUCCCUUAAAGGAAAUUUUGUUGGAAAAGGCUAUUCUUGUGAAGGAAUGGUCAAACUUUGUACUGUUGACAAUAAAAUAAAUAAAGUUGAUCUUGCUUAUGUUGUGGAUUUAUUUUCAUUAUGGCAUGCUAGGUUAGGACAUGUUGGUAAAAGUACCAUGAAACGAAUGAAAAAGUGUGACUUAAUUUCAUAUAAUGAAAAUAAUGAAUAUAGAUGCAAAACUUGUGUAGAAUCUAAGAUGAUUAAAAAACCAUAUCAAAGUGUAAAAAGAACCUCUAGUAUUUUGGAACUAAUUCAUACGGAUAUAUGUGAAUUAAACGGCAUGUUAACUAGAGGUGGAAAUAGGUAUUUUAUUACCUUUAUCGAUGACUUUUCUAGAUAUACAUAUGUGUAUUUAAUGAAACAUAAACAUGAAGCAUUUAACAUGUUUAAGAUUUAUAAGAAUGAAGUUGAAAAUCAUCUAGGAAAGAAAAUAAAAACCUUAAGGAGUGAUAGAGGUGGUGAAUAUUUUUCUAGUGAUUUUAAUUUAUUUUGUGAACAACAUGGCAUAAUUCAUCAAUAUUCUGCACCAAGGACUCCCGAACAAAAUGAUUUGGCUGAAAGAAAGAAUAGAACAUUAGUAGAAAUGAUUAAUGCUAUGCUUAUAUUUGCUAAGUUACUUUUUAACUUAUGGGGUGAAGUUUUAUUAAGUGCAUGUAGGAUACUUAAUAGGAUUCCUUCAAAACAUACUAAGGUUUCUCCUUAUCAAUUAUGGAAAGGAAGAAAACCAAACAUUGGAUACUUCAAAAUGUGGGGGUGUCUUGCCUAUUGCAAGAACACGAACCCUAAUAGAAACAAAUUAGGUCCAAGAGGCAUUAAAUGUGUUUUUGUUGGAUAUGCUAACAAUAGCAAAUCUUAUAGAUUGUUAAAUUUGGAGACCAAUGUGAUUAUUGAAUCAAGUGAUGUAGAGUUCUUUGAAGAUUCGUUAACCUCGAAUAACGAAUUAAGGGAAAAUCUUGAAAAUAUCCCUAGCUCAAGUGGAACACGGGAUGAAAUAUCUUCUAAAGAUAUUAAUGAAUCUAAUGAACUACGAAGAAGCAAAAGAACUUGAGUUAAGAAGUCUUUAGGACUAGAUGAAAUUGAUUCUCAACUUAUCUCCUUUUACUUAGUAGAAGGAAAUGAGUUGAAUGUUGUAAGAACAAUUCCUUUUGUUCUUCAAGUGGAAACCGAUCCUAAAACUUAUAAAGAAGCUAUGGCUUCUCGAGAUAGCAUGUUUUGGAAAGAUGCAAUCAAGGAUGAAAUGGAUUCAAUAAUGUCAAAUAAAACUUGGGAACUUGUUGAUCUACCACCCGGAUCCAAACCUAUUGGUUGUAAAUGGGUAUUUAAGAGAAAAUACAAUGUUGAUGGUUCUCUAAAUACUUUCAAAGCUAGACUUGUAGCCAAAGGUUAUCGACAAAAGGAAGGAAUUGACUAUUUUGACACUUAUGCACCNNNNNNNNNNNNNNNNNNNNNNNNNNNNNNNNNNNNNNNNNNNNNNNNNNNNNNNNNNNNNNNNNNNNNNNNNNNNNNNNNNNNNNNNNNNNNNNNNNNNNNNNNNNNNNNNNNNNNNNNNNNNNNNNNNNNNNNNNNNNNNNNNNNNNNNNNNNNNNNNNNNNNNNNNNNNNNNNNNNNNNNNNNNNNNNNNNNNNNNNNNNNNNNUUGAUGACAUGUUGAUUAUAAGUAAUCACAUGGAUGGGAUAAAAGAAACGAAGAGGUUUCUAUCUUCCACAUUUAAGAUGAAGGAUCUUGGACAAAUUGAUACUAUUUUUGGUAUCAAAGUCUCAAAGACUAGUGGGGGUUAUUACCUUAGUCAAUCACAUUAUAUUGAUAAUGUGAUAAAUAAGUUCAAACAUUUGAACAUAAAAGAGUAUAAUACCCCUAUUGAUCCAAGCUUCAAAACUUGUAAAAAAUGAUGGAGAGAAAUUGCUCAAUUAGAGAAUGCAAGUGCUAUUGGAAGUCUUAUGUAUGCAGUUCAAUGCACAAGACCAGAUAUAGCCUAUGCAAUAAGUAAACUUAGUAGGUUUACUAGCAAUCCAAGUAAUGAACAUUGGAAAGCAAUUGGGAGAGUUCUCGGAUACUUAAAGAAAACCAAAAACUUAGGUCUACAAUAUACUAAAUUUCUAGCAAUAUUAGAAGGAUUUACUGAUGCUAGUUGGAUAUCUAGCACGAAUGAAAGUAAAUCAACUACGGGUUGGGUGUUUACUCUAGGAGGAGGUGUAGUUUCUUGGAAGUCGAAGAAACAAACAUGCAUAACACAUUCAACUAUGGAAUCUGAAUUUGUAGCCCUAUCAGAUACAAGAAAGGAGGCUGAAUGGCUUAAAGACUUAUUCUAUGAGAUACCUUUGGGAUCAAAGAAUAUUUCUUCAAUACCAAUAAUGUGUGAUAGUCAAGCCACUUUAGCUAAAGCAUACAAUGAUGUAUAUAACAGGAAGUCUAGACAUAUGAGUCUUAGACACAACUACAUAAGGAAGUUAAUCAAAGAUGGAAUAAUUUCCCUAAAUUAUGUAAGGUCGAAUGAAAAUUUGGCGGAUCUUCUAACUAAACCUCUAAAUAGAGAUUUAGUGGCAUCUACUUCAAGUAGGAUGGGAUUGAAACUCCUUAACUGAAAUAUCCACCAAUGAUGGCAACCCUACCUGUCGUUACUCAAAAGGUUUUACACGGGUUCAAAGGGUAACAACUAGUCAUUCGAUAUGUGGAUAGUUACAGCAUUAUUAUAAUCCGCAAUGAUCCUAUCCUAGAUUAAUAUAAUGCUGGUUGUUACUGAAACGAGGGUUGAACUAUAAGCUCUUAAUAAAGUUCAGUGAAAAACCGCAAGUACUUCUAAAAGUAACAAAGGUACUGGAAGAACUUUACCUAAAUAAACUUCAAGGUGGUGCCGCUUUAAUAGAAAGUUGUAGUUCUCUCUAAAAGUUUAUUGAAAAGGAUAAGUGCGAGGCCAUAAAAGCGCUAAGCGAGAAACGAGGAAUUUGAGAACACGUGAUAUUCGUGUGUGUGUUCUUACCGGUAUUGUCACAUGAAAUACUUGGUUCAAAGCUUCACGCUACCUUGAAUUUCGACUUUACUUUGUUUGAAUUACACUAUGGUUAGAUUCAAAUCGAAAGAUAUAUAAUCCUUACGCAUGAGUAUCGUAUAAUUUGAAUAUGAGAACUUGUUAAUUUUGAACAAGUGGGGGAUUGUUAUGAAGUGGUAUGAUUGUUCAAAACCAACAAUAAGAAAAAAAAAAUUUAGGCCAUGCGACCGCAUGGAACCCUACCAAGACCAAAAUGGUCUCGGUAGGAUUGUACCAUGCGACCGCAUGGUACAGAAAAAACGAACAUUGGGUCGUUUUUUGUUGAUUUUUUGGUGGCUUUUCAUCCAUAAGGUGCACCACUUCGUGAAGCUAUACUACUUGGCUAUAAAUAGGUGAUUUUGGGUCAUUGGAAAAAGUUGAAGAAAAAACACCUAUUAUAUUGAUACUUCUUGAGAUCAAAUCCAAAAGAAAAUACCCUCUCAUAUUCAUCUUUUUCUUUGUAUUCUUAAGUUUUAGAGAUUCAAACAAGUGUUUAGUGUUUGAAUCUCUAUAAGGCUUGAUUAAUCCUUCAAACCUUUUGCCGGAUCACCCUUUAAACACCAAAAUAGUGGGGGCAAAAUUCGUUUGAGGACAACAAUCAAAGAUUGUGUUUGAGCCUUCAAUUUCUUCAUAUAUACUUUGCUAUUUCUUCAUCUCCUAUACUUCUU